ACAUGCAAGUCGAGCGGUAGCACAGAGAAACUUGUUUCUUGGGUGACGAGCGGCGGACGGGUGAGUAAUGCUUGGGAACAUGCCUUUAGGUGGGGGACAACAGUUGGAAACGACUGCUAAUACCGCAUGAUGUCUACGGACCAAAGUGGGGGACCUUCGGGCCUCACGCCUAAAGAUUGGCCCAAGUGGGAUUAGCUAGUUGGUGAGGUAAUGGCUCACCAAGGCAACGAUCUCUAGCUGGUUUGAGAGGAUGAUCAGCCACACUGGAACUGAGACACGGUCCAGACUCCUACGGGAGGCAGCAGUGGGGAAUAUUGCACAAUGGGCGAAAGCCUGAUGCAGCCAUGCCGCGUGUGUGAAGAAGGCCUUCGGGUUGUAAAGCACUUUCAGUCAGGAGGAAAGGUUACGUUUUAAUAGAGCGUAGCUGUGACGUUACUGACAGAAGAAGCACCGGCUAACUCCGUGCCAGCAGCCGCGGUAAUACGGAAGGUGCGAGCGUUAAUCGGAAUUACUGGGCGUAAAGCGUACGCCCGCGGUUG
rnacentral:rRNA from 1 species